UCGAUCUCGCUCUCUCCAAGACUCCAUUCUUCCUUUUCUCUCGCUCUCUCGAGACUCAAGCACAAGCUUUACUCCAGGCCACCUCCCACCGAUCGUGACGGCGGUGACCACCAGGCCAUCUCCCCUCAUCUGCUCCUCAUUCGCCUGGAUUCGAUCGGCGAUCGCUAUCGCACCAUUCCGGGGAUUUCCCACAAUCAUCACUAACGCUGCUAUUCUAGGGAUUUCAGAUGUUUGAAAAAUUCAAGACGCCGCUGAUCAAUUAACUGGGAAGACAAAGCAAAUCUCUCAUGUGCCUAUUGAUCUCAGCAUUUAUUCACCGAAUGGUGAUGAUGUUCUGGUGAUAAUCAAAGUUAUGAAUUGGCUCAUCAGCAUAGGCAACCAAUUCCAAUGAUGACUUGAGAUCAUGAGAGCCAGAUUCCUCAAUGGUGAGAGUAUGUGGGAGCACUGCAUAUGUUGCCCAAACUGCAUGGAUUCAGAAUCGAACUAUACAAGAGAACAUCCUAUUUGGCAUGCCGAUGAAUUCAAGAAAAUACAAGGAAGUUCUUCAAGUUUGUUGUCUGAAGAAGGACAUGGAGAUGAUAGAGUUUGGAGACCAGACUGAGAUUAGAGAGAGGGAUUAAUCUGAAUGGUGGCCAAAAGCAGAGAAUUCAAUUUCCAGGGUUGUUUAUCAAGACUCUGAUGUUUAUCUACUUGAUGAUGUCUUCAGUGCUGUUGAUGCUUAUACUAGUUCUGAGAUCUUCAAGAAUCCAUCGAGGAGAUCUCAAAGAUAAAAUAGUCCUGCUUGUUACUCACCAAGUUGACUUCUUGCACAAUAUCAAUUGCAUCUACGGUUAAUUGAAGUUUAUGGAUGGAUUUCUCAACAAUGGAUCCAAUGAAUAGCUAUGAUUCCGGUUAUAAUUAAUUGGGAGCUUUGUCCUCUGCAUUGCCGCUUUGCUAAUUGUCAUGCUUCUGCUAAUAUUAUCCAACCAGAAUAUGUAGGCCUAUCUCUGUCCUACAGCCUACCAGGUUUCAAAUGUCUUCAAUUGAGUCCAUAAUUAAAGGUUCCUGUUAUCAUGAUGUGAUUGAGCAUCCAAUGGACUUUGGGACAAUAAGGAAGUAGCUUGACUUAUGUGAUGAGCCUGAGGAAUUGUUUUAUAGUCGUGUAGAAAACUCAUUGCACGAGUGAGCACUAAAAUUAUUAUUAAUUAAUUGGAUGUUUUG